AUCUUUCAGAGAGAGCUCGUAGCAAGAUUCAGGCAAGUGUUGAAUCAUCUCCAUGAGCUCUUUCCUACCAUCUACUAUUGCUUGUCUCCUUGAAUUUGGGGAGAGAUUACUGUAAUGAUGGUUGUGUGGAAGCAAAGUAUUGGCUGUAGCUUGAAACUCUGGUUCAGUGCUACCACUGUUAAAAUGAUCAGGACCACCACCAUCAAAACUCUCUUCAUAUGGGGAUUUACAUGAACCCCAGAAGGCGAAUUCUUGCUCACUGAUGCUGUUUCGUCUGGCAUGCAUCUUUAAGGUUGGACCAGAAGAACAAAGAAAUGGUUUGGAAAAGAAGAAGUUGUUAGUUUGCCCGACCUUCUAAGGAUCGAUCGAAUUAAACACCAGAGGGUUGGAUCAGUACGAAUCUCAUUGGAUCCAGAUUGUCAAUAUGCAAGGAGAACUUUGGUUUGCACUCACUGCAUUCAACAAUGGCUGAAGGUGAGAGACGAUCAAUGCAGAUCUUAUGCACAAUUGUGAGCAUUGGAAAUAAUUCUAGCCAUCCUCAGUGACUCAAAACCUCAAAAAGCUCUUUAGUCGUUGAGACACCUUGCAAAAAAGAGAUAAGAGGAAAAGGAAAGUAUAAGAAAGCUGGCUCUUUCCAAUUCAAAACUUUUCAAAACUUACUCCAAGUUUGUCAUUCAUAAAAGUAGAGUUUGAACAUUGCGUGAUUGCAUUGUCAGUUAAAAUUGAAAACCAAAAUUCUGACAUUAUUUUCUCAUUCUAAUUUAUUCAAAGUAGAGUUUCUAGCUAUAAAUUGUAGUUUCUGGCCUUGGAGCAUCUCUGCUUCAAGUUCAUCAAAUGACCUGCAAAUUCACAGGGAGGUAACUAUGUCGUAAAUAUAUACUUCAUAUUAUCACAAGAUUAUGAAUCAAGUACUAGACAUAUUAACAUUUUGUUAGGCCUCCAACUCACAUCACUUAUGUUAGACGUAAGAAACAGAGGUGCUGAUUCAUAUUUUGGGGUUAUAGAAUUGUAAUGGGUUGCUAUUAAUUACUAUUAUGUUAUUUAAGUUGUGUGUUAUUGCUGUCAGUUUUGGAAUGAGAAUAGGUUGUGGUUUAUUUUAUAAAUAGGUAAGGGCUUGGUUUGUAAGGGUAUCCUAGAGUGAGUUGUUGAAUGUGUGGAGAGUUGGUGGUCUCUCGAAUACCACCAGUGGCUGUGAGAGUGUAUUUGCCUAUUCCUCUUAAUAGAAAUUCCAGAACUUU